GAUGAACGCUGGCGGCGUGCCUAAUACAUGCAAGUCGAGCGAACGGACGAGAAGCUUGCUUCUCUGAUGUUAGCGGCGGACGGGUGAGUAACACGUGGAUAACCUACCUAUAAGACUGGGAUAACUUCGGGAAACCGUAGCUAAUACCGGAUAAUAUUUUGAACCGCAUGGUUCAAAAGUGAAAGACGGUCUUGCUGUCACUUAUAGAUGGAUCCGCGCUGCAUUAGCUAGUUGGUAAGGUAACGGCUUACCAAGGCAACGAUGCAUAGCCGACCUGAGAGGGUGAUCGGCCACACUGGAACUGAAGCACGGUCCAGACUCCUACGGGAGGCAGCAGUAGGGAAUCUUCCGCAAUGGGCGAAAGCCUGACGGAGCAACUCCGCGUGAGUGAUGAAGGUCUUCGGAUCGUAAAACUCUGUUAUUAGGGAAGAACAUAUGUGUAAGUAACUGUGCACAUCUUGACGGUACCUAAUCAGAAAGCCACGGCUAACUACGUG
rnacentral:rRNA from 1 species